AAUGGAGUGCCUGAGCAAAAGGAUAAUUUUGAUAGAAUUAAUAAUGUGAUGCACCACCACCUCCAUUA
rnacentral:tRNA from 1 species